AGAAUCGAAGGAUUCGAGUAAAAAUGGCUUAAUAUUUAGCUUCGAUAUUCGAGACUGAGAAAGACAAGUGAGAACGGGCGCAGGGAGUGUCAUCUCGCGGGGGUUACUGCUCUUCUUACUUUAAUAUCAGAGCCUGCCGGCGCAGGGACCAGAGCCCCGACUUCACAGCAACCGACUUUCAGCCAGGAGGUGUUCACGGAACUGCAUGAGCAGUACAGGGAGAUUGAAGAAUAUGUGCGAAAACCUGGGGGACCACUCGUGGACCAUGUCUGUGUCAGGGUCCUUUGCUGUCCCUCCCUCAGAGCCCAGAGGUGGAGGCUUUCAAUGCCUCAUGACCACCACUGAAACCUCACAGCUUGAAAGGCUCACCACUAAAUUCAGCCCAGCCCCAGAGCUGGUAACUGGUCCCCUGAAGAUCUCCAGUUUCUGCUGCUGACCCUGACUGACUUUCAUCUCAGUUCUGACAGGCAGUAGCUGACCUCAAUACUGCUGGUUAAAUGAGCAGGCUGUGUGUGCUGAGUUGUCCCCUGUCAACUGACUUCUGGGAGUCAUGCUUUCAGCAGUCACUGUGGAGGUCCCAUACUGGCCAUCAUCCUGAGAAAGGGACCAGCGUGUUCCCCAGAUCACUGGCAUGGUUGCUUCUAAGACUCUUGGUCCCUUCCCCUUUAUCCCUGAAAGACACGGAUGUUCUGGCCAGGACUCCUCUUCAAAGCCCCCUUGAAGGUUCCUGGCUUCAUAAUGUAGUCUGUUCAGCAGAGACCUCCUACCACCUUUCCCCUAAUAAAGUUCUAUAUCAAG